AACGCGAAGAACCUUACCAGGCCUUGACAUGCAUCUCUAAACCGGUGAAAGCCGGCGAGUCCCGAAAGGGACAAUUUGCACAGGUGCUGCAUGGCUGUCGUCAGCUCGUGUCGUGAGAUGUUGGGUUAAGUCCCGCAACGAGCGCAACCCUUGUGAACUGUUGCUACCGAGCCGAGAGGCUCGAGCACUCUGUUCAGACUGCCUCGCUUAAACGAGGAGGAAGGUGAGGAUGACGUCAAGUCAGUAUGGCCCUUACGGCCUGGGCUGCACACGUACUACAAUGCCCAGCACAGAAUGAUCCGAGACCGCGAGGUGGAGGAAAUCUCUAAAACUGGGCCCAGUUCGGAUUGGAGGCUGCAAUUCGCCUCCAUGAAGCCGGAAUCGCUAGUAAUGGCGCAUCAGCUACGGCGCCGUGAAUACGUUCCCGGGCCUUGUACACACCGAGUAUA
rnacentral:rRNA from 1 species